CCCGUUGAAAGACGGACUAAUUCCUGAUGGUAUGUAUUUUUCUCAUGAAUUAUACAUUAAAGAAUUUCGGUAUUGGAUGGGGAUGCGUCUGAUUAGUUUGUUGGUGAGGUAACGGCUCACCAAGACUUCGAUCAGUAGGGGUUCUGAGAGGAAGGUCCCCCACAUUGGAACUGAGACACGGUCCAAACUCCUACGGGAGGCAGCAGUGAGGAAUAUUGGUCAAUGGGCGCAAGCCUGAACCAGCCAAGUAGCGUGCAGGAAGACGGCCCUAUGGGUUGUAAACUGCUUUUAUACGAGAAUAAUUUGAUGCACGUGUGCGUUAUUGCAUGUAUCGUAUGAAUAAGGACCGGCUAAUUCCGUGCCAGCAGCCGCGGUAAUACGGAAGGUCCAGGCGUUAUCCGGAUUUAUUGGGUUUAAAGGGAGUGUAGGCGGUUUGUUAAGCGUGUUGUGAAAUUUAGGUGCUCAACAUUUAACUUGCAGCGCGAACUGUCAGACUUGAGUACA
rnacentral:rRNA from 1 species